GCCACUGCUUUUCUUUGAUGUCCCCAUUUUGUGGAGCCCAUCAACCCCGCCAUUUCGGUUCAAGGUUGGUGGGUUUUUUGUU
rnacentral:sRNA from 1 species